UAAUUGCAUACAAUAUAUAAAAAAAAUCGAUUUUAAUCAAAAUACAUUGUUUUUAAAGCAUAAUAUUUAACAAAACAUGUACUUGUCAAGUUAGAAUUUCAGUUAGAUAUCCAGUUCCCUAGUUCGCGCCAUUUUCUGCCAUUACAAAACGAUCUUCUUUUUAAAUAAGUUAAUUGUUAAUACACAAACUCUGUCCAACUUGACUGAAUUUCAGAAUCUAGCUUUAUAUUUUACCACAGUUUUACAAUAUAAAUCCCACAAUUGCAGUAAUUUCUUUAUUUGUUUAACGAUAGGUGUGCACCACAGUUGGUUACGUGGUACAUUUACUUCGUUAACAUACAAAGUUACUUGAGUUAAGAUUUUGGUAAUAUAGUACAUUUACAAAAAAAAUAAGUAAGUUUACUCUUACUUUAAGUAUAUUUUUUAAAUGGAAAAGUUGUACUUUUACUUGCGUUCCUUCAUUACUGGAUGUUAAUUCAUUACUAAAUGUAUAUUUUUAAUUGCUGUCGUGUUUCUAGGGUAUCCGCGAAUUAAUGACUCGUUUGAGUCGUUUCCUUACAACGUAUUACAAAUGAAUGAGUCUUUUGAGUCGAUUCUUUACAAAACAAACUGUCAAAAGUUUUGAAUUGGUUCGCGAAUCAGUUUAAAUGAAUUGUUCAGAUCGCUUCAAAAACUGAAUCAUCUGGUGCGGUUUCAUCAAGAAACACGCAGAACACAGUGUAGGAUGACGUGAAUACUUGAAGCAAAACUUCACACGUGUAUCCGCCAUUAUAUAUGCGCGACCUGUUUGCAGUCAGACAUAGUUACACGUGCGCAACCUCCGAAAUACUGUACACGUGACUGUACAACAGAAUGACGAAAAUCGAUCGAUGCUUGUCUCGCUGUAUACUGUACUGUAUGUUAUAAUUGCUUCUUACAACAACAUGAGAUACUCAACAUAAGAAAACAUGAGUUUGGUCUAAAAUCGUUUCACACUGUGCCCUUCAUAUGGGACCAUACAGACAAAGUGUUUCUGUUUGCUGUGGAAACGAGAAAUUGGAAAGAUGAAUAUCAGAAUGUCAGAAGAAACUUGAAAAAAAUGCCCUAACAAACAAAAUAACAAGAAGAGAGGCAGAAAAGGCUGUGUCAAAGUGGCUAAUUGGUGCCGGGAAAUAGGAGGGAAUCGCACUGCAAGGGCACAUGUUGGAGAACAAAUGGGGGCCGUUGGGACAGCGACAACAUAGGAGUGAGGAGCUGCAGUAAUGUUGUCUUGUUUGUAAAAACCUAUAUUUUAGAUUUUUCUGAUAUGCAUAUAUAAAAACAAGUUUUUCCAAAUAAAGUUUUACAAGAGUGAAU